CGGGAGAGUCGUUCCUGAGAGCACAUGCACCCCCAAAUGUCAAGUGCACUCGGACACACACACACACACGCACGCACACACAAGCACUCAUGUUCUAGAGAGAGAGGUCUGAGUCCGAAGUUGCUGCUGCUGGGAGCUUGAGCUGAGAUGGACUGGUCUUCAUGGGCGCCCAAGGCGCUGGGUGCAGCUUUCCCCGAGACCCCCAGAUGGAAAGGAGGGAAGGAGGAACCCCACACACUCGCCUUUUGCGAGAAGAUCGGCGCGCACCCCAGAGUGCCCCAAGCCUUUGGAAUCUGCCUGCUGAGCGGAGCGCGCGAGCGUGGUGGACAGGUCCCGAACUUGGCCAGCGGGCUUUCUUGGCAACUUGCUUUGCGCAGUUCUCCAUGGAACCCUGGACCCACUGUGCUCCCGGCGCCUUGCCUUUUUUUUUCUUUUUCUUUCUCUCACUGUCUCUUUUUAAAUUUAUGAACUCGAAAUGAAGCGGAAAGCAGAUAUGCGCGUCAGCAUACUUUGGCGGGAUGCUGGCGACCCCUGCCCCACCACUAGUAUUCUCUGAUGCUCGUCGUGCUGUGGGAGAUCUUCUAUGCAACAUGGAAACCAUGAAUUGUACCACAGAGGGAGAUCUUCUGUCCCACUAGGAAACUGCAAAUUGUACCACAGAGGGAGAUCUUCUAUGCAACAUGGAGACCAUGAAUGGUACACACAGAGGGAGAUCUUCUAUCCACGUGGAAACCAUGAAUUGUACCACAGAGGGAGAUCUUCUGUCCCACUAGGAAACUGCGAAUUGUACCACAGAGGGAGAUCUUCUAUGCAACAUGGAGACCAUGAAUGGUACACACAGAGGGAGAUCUUCUAUCCACGUGGACACCAUGAAUUGUACCACAGAGGCAGAUGUUCUAUCCAACAUGGAAACCAUGAAUUGUACACACAGAGGGGGAUAUUCCAUCCAACAUAGGAACCAUGAACUGUACACACAGAGGGAGAUCUUCUAUCCAACAUGGAGACCAUGAAUUGUACCACAGAGGAAGAUGUUCUAUCCAAAACGGAAACCAUGAGUUGUACGCCUAGAGGGAGAUCUUCUAUCCAAUAUGUAAGCCACAAGUUGGACACACAGAGAGAGAUAUUUUAUCCAACUUGGAAACCAUGAAUUGUACACACAGAGAGAUCUUCUAUCCAACAUGGAAACAAUGAGUUAUACCCACAGAGGGAGAUCUUCUAUCCAAUUCAGGUGUUCCUUAUGUGAUAGCAUACUCUGUAUCUACAACUAGCUAAAGUUUCGUGAUGUCAUUAUUGUUAUUGUUGUUGCAGAGGUGAGGUCUUGCUAUGUUGCCCAGGCUGGUCUUGAAUCCCUGGCCUCCAGCAAUCCUCCUGCCUUUGUUUCCCAAUGUGUUGGGAUUACAGGCAAAAGCUGGUCUUAUUCUUUCUAAAGCUGAAGUUUGAGAAGUAAAAAUCACUUUCAAGGGUAGAAUGCAUUUUAUAUUUUCUCUGAAAAAUGAAUUGGCACAAAUGUCCAGUUAAAUUUGUGCAAUUUUCUUUAAAAAAAAACACAGUUAAUUUUAAAGUGGCAAUAGUUAUAUACUAGGAGUAUAAUCCCAAAUUGUUUAACUGUUUCCUGAGCCUCUUCCCAUGUUCAUUGAGAUAAUUUUGUAAAAGCAUCCUAACCAGCAAUGGGUCCUCUUGUUAAGAAGGCUGCCAGUACAAACUCUCUUUAUGAAGGACUCACAUGCUCUGACUGUUCCGUCACCUCCCAACCACAGCCAGGAGCCUUCUCUGGCUGCCACAGAACUAAGGAGGGGGCACUACUGCAGCCCAGCCUGUCUUGGCAUUGUUUAGGGCCCUGUCCCAAAAUAUUUGUGAGCCAAUGUAUCUACAUAUCGACGGUGCUGUCAAUGGUACACGUAUCUCUCUAAUAGGACUUUGCCACCUGCCACGAUGUGGUCACUGCUCUGAACACCUGGAAUAGGCCUUGUUCUCUUUCUAGCAGACAUGCACAGAGUUUCGUCUUAAGAAAUUGUCUGUACUUUGAAAGUCUAUUUCCCAGGGAUAGUUAUGCUUAACAUUGGUCAGUAACUAUGUUGAUAAAAGCAAGCCCUUUGCUUUUGUAAUACUUUUGUCUAAACAUGUAAAAAGACACAUCGUGUUUGUGACUUCCUAAUUAGGAGCGAAGGUCGUUUUUGUUUGCAUUGUUUAUCUCUGCUCCCAUCUCACCAAGCUUUAGCAAAGCAUCUUGGUUUCCUUUCUCCAUCUUAGAAUGCUUUGUUAAUAGUACCCAUUACAGUGGGCUAGGGUGUUUUCCUAUUUUGUUGCCUGGAAGGUGUCUACUUUGACCUACUUUAAUCUCAGGGCUUGGAGGUAAAGUCAUCCUCUGUGUAGACUUUGGGAUUAGCUGGGAUCCUUGUUUCACAACGUGGACUCAUGGAGGGGAGGGAACUCCCGGAAGGUGGCUUAGGCUCUCUUUGCAUGCAACCCUGACAGAACCCUUUUCUUAGCCACUCAGUGGACUCAACCGAAUGUUUCCAAGAUUGAGAAAACAGUUGUGAGCAGAUCUAUCUGCAAAUGGACAGCACUACCCACGGGGCACUUUUCUUUCCGACUCUGACUCACGUGUGGAGCUCAUGGGAGUGGUCUGGGUUACUUAAGGUUAACCUUUACAUUCUCAUAAACUCCCACAUGAUUUUUCAGAAUGCCACCCUGAGGAGUUUUACUAUUAUUAAAAAAGGGGGUCAUUGUUUGACCAGUUGUAGAGCAAACAGAUUGUCCUAGUUUUUUUGAAAAAAGGAAAUGAGUCACUUUCCAUAUGAAUAUCUCAACUAUCAAAAUAUUAAACAUCCCUUUGUUUACUGUUUCGCUUCUUAACUUUCAGACAUGUAACCUCAGCCAAGUAGCACCAGCAAGAGCCAUCUGCCGCAUACCUCAGCUGUGCUUGUACCACUUUGUGUAAGAGGAGCGGACAGCAAGGGAAGGUCUGGCUUUGAUGGGGUGACCCUGCCCACUCAUUAGACUCUGUGUUCUGCCAAGUGGUUGGGCUUGGCCACAGGAGUCCUGCUGUCUUGGGGUACUCUGAUGGCAAUCAAGACCAAACUUACUCAAUGAUAUUGGAAAUUGUGCAUUUUUUUCUUAAUCUCAGCCUUCCCAUCUCAGUUGAUGGAGAUCCCAUGCUUUCUGUUGCACUGCCCAAAAAUCUUGAGGUUGUCUUUGACUGCUUUCUCUCACACGCAAUAUCUGAUCUAUUCAGAAAAUCCUACUGGCCCUAUAAUCUUCAAGAUAUGUCUAGAAUCUUCUUACGUCUCACUAUGUCCACAUCUACCUAGCCUGGUUUAUCCCACUGACCUCAUGCACCCGGCUUGCUUCUCUCAACUGGCCCCUCAGCUUCUACCCUGUAGUCUAAUCCCAGCAGCGGCAGGAGUGAUCCAUUCGUGACAUUAGUUGGAUUUCACUCCUCAGCUCAGAGCUCAUCAGUGCUCCCUGUCUCUCUCAAAGGGAAAGCCAGUCUCUUUCAAGAGUCCACAAGACCCUACGUGGUGUAGCCCUGCCCUUCUGCACCCACUUUCUAAAAUUCUCCCAUGGGCUCACUGUGAUAGCAGCAGGUUUCCAUGCUCAUGCUGGAAUGCACCAAGCCCUCUCUCAUCACAGGCCAUUGCACAAGAUCUCCCUUUGCUUGGAACAGCCUCUUUCCAGGUAUCACUGCCUCACCCCUUUUGAUCUGUGCCCAAAUGUUACCCUUCUUCAUAAGCUUAGCUGGCCCAGCCUGUGUAAAUGUCAGCCUGUAUCCCCAGCACUCCUGAUCUUUCUUCUCCUGUUCUUUCAUCCAUGGCAUGUAUCAUCUUCUAACACAUCAAAUGAUUCUAAAAUUUAUGAUGUCAUUGUUUAUUAUCUGGCCUUACUCUCAGCCUCUAGAAAGUAAGUUCCACAAGGGCAGGGAUGAUUGUCAUUUUUGUUCCCUGAUAUCCCUGCCUAUGUAUUUGAUAAAUAUUUGCUGAAUAAAUGAACCACCACCUCCAACAAGAGCAGGUUGUUUUCUCUGUGCCCUUCAAACUGGCUGUCUAAGAUGCACAUUCCUCCAAAAUGAAGUCUGUUUCUAUGCAGUCUACCAGCAGCUGAAACCUAGUGACCCUGGCUUUGAACUCCCAGUUAUUGGAGAUAAUCCAGAACACAGUCAGGGGUAUGGCUGGCACUGGGGAAAUUCGUAAUCCCACGCUGCUUUGGUACAUAGACCUGAAAGUCAGUAGGCGGGUCAUUCAGCCCUUCCAUCCCUCAACCAGCUCCCCCUAUUUCCGGGGGAUGGGUGCACAUCAGGAGGAUGAGUCAAGACCUUUGGAGCCAUGACAAAAUGAGUCUUUGGAGUAUCUUCACAUUUUUGUGAGCACUUAAGAUUCUUUCCUCCGAACAAAUUUUGGAGGAGAGUGCUAUUUGUGUCAUAAGAAUGAAUUUAUUUAACUACUAUUUAUUAUCUACUGUGGUUC
rnacentral:lncRNA from 1 species